rnacentral:rRNA from 1 species
GACGUAGGGCGCGAGCGUUGUCCGGAUUUAUUGGGCGUAAAGAGCUCGUAGGCGGCUUGUUGCGUCGACCGUGAAAACCUACGGCUUAACUGUGGGCGUGCGGUUGAUACGGGCAGGCUGGAGUUCGGUAGGGGAGACUGGAAUUCCUGGUGUAGCGGUGAAAUGCGCAGAUAUCAGGAGGAACACCGGUGGCGAAGGCAGGUCUCUGGGCCACUACUGACGCUGAGAAGCGAAAGCAUGGGGAGCGAACAGG